UAAGAAGCGAACGCAGGGAACUGAAACAUCUAAGUACCUGCAGGAAAGGACAUCAACCGAGACUCCGCAAGUAGUGGCGAGCGAACGCGGACCAGGCCAGUGGCAAUGAUGAAUAAAGCGGAACGAUUUGGAAAGGUCGGCCAUAGAGGGUGAUAGCCCCUUACGCGUAGAACAGUCAUUGUCCUUGAGUAGGGCGGGACACGUGAAAUCCUGUCUGAACAUGGGGAGACCACUCUCCAAGCCUAAGUACUCGUG
rnacentral:rRNA from 1 species